rnacentral:rRNA from 1 species
AUUGAACGCUGGCGGCAUGCCUUACACAUGCAAGUCGAACGGCAGCACGGGGCAACCUGGUGGCGAGUGGCGAACGGGUGAGUAAUGCAUCGGAACGUACCUUUCGGUGGGGGAUAACGUAGCGAAAGUUACGCUAAUACCGCAUAUUCUGUGAGCAGGAAAGCAGGGGAUCGCAAGACCUUGCGCUGAUUGAGCGGCCGAUGUCAGAUUAGCUGGUUGGUGAGGUAAAGGCUCACCAAGGCGACGAUCUGUAGCGGGUCUGAGAGGAUGAUCCGCCGACCGGGAACUGAGACACGGUCCAGACUCCUAGGGGAGGCAGCAGUGGGGAAUUUUGGACAAUGGGGGCAACCCUGAUCCAGCCAUGCCGCGUGAGUGAAGAAGGCCUUCGGGUUGUAAAGCUCUUUCGGCCGGGAAGAAAUCGCACGGGCUAAUACCCUGUGUGGAUGACGGUACCGGAAUAAGAAGCACCGGCUAACUACGUGCCAGCAGCCGCCGUAACAC